GUUCACUCAUCAACCCUGUGAACAUACCUAUAACGUUGCCUCGGCGGGAACAGACGGCCCCGUAACACGGGCCGCCCCCGCCAGAGGACCCCCUAACUCUGUUUCUAUAAUGUUUCUUCUGAGUAAACAAGCAAAUAAAUUAAAACUUUCAACAACGGAUCUCUUGGCUCUGGCAUCGAUGAAGAACGCAGCGAAAUGCGAUAAGUAAUGUGAAUUGCAGAAUUCAGUGAAUCAUCGAAUCUUUGAACGCACAUUGCGCCCGCCAGUAUUCUGGCGGGCAUGCCUGUUCGAGCGUCAUUACAACCCUCAGGCCCCCGGGCCUGGCGUUGGGGAUCGGCGGAAGCCCCCUGCGGGCACAACGCCGUCCCCCAAAUACAGUGGCGGUCCCGCCGCAGCUUCCAUUGCGUAGUAGCUAACACCUCGCAACUGGAGAGCGGCGCGGCCACGCCGUAAAACACCCAACUUCUGAAUGUUGACCUCGAAUCAGGUAGGAAUACCCGCUGAACUUAAGCAUAUCAAAA
rnacentral:rRNA from 1 species